rnacentral:snRNA from 1 species
AAGCUAGCCAUUUCUCUAUUUG